rnacentral:rRNA from 1 species
UACGGAGGGGGCUAGCGUUGCUCGGAAUUACUGGGCGUAAAGCGCACGUAGGCGGCCAUGAUAGUCAGAUGUGAAAGGCCUGGGCUUAACCCGGGAACUGCAUUUGAUACUGCGUGGCUAGAGUCCGAGAGAGGGUAGUGGAAUUCCCAGUGUAGAGGUGAAAUUCGUAGAUAUUGGGAAGAACACCAGUGGCGAAGGCGGCUACCUGGCUCGGUACUGACGCUCAGGUGCGAAAGCGUGGGGAGCGAACAGG